UACGUACGCAGCAAGCGUUGUUCGGAAUUACUGGGCGUAAAGAGUGUGUAGGCGGUGCUCCAAGUCUGGUGUGAAAUCUCCCGGCUUAACUGGGAGGGUGCAUUAGAAACUGGAAUGCUAGAGGAUGGGAGAGGUAAGCGGAAUUCCUGGUGUAGCGGUGAAAUGCGUAGAUAUCAGGAGGAACACCUGUGGUGUAGACAGCUUACUGGACCAUUUCUGACGCUGAGACACGAAAGCGUGGGUAGCAAACAGG
rnacentral:rRNA from 1 species